CUGAAAUGUAAACACAAUGAGAGAGGUCUGGAGAUCAGAAGUCCAAAAAAUGGGUCUCACUGAGCUACAAUCAAGGUGUCAACAGGCUGUGUCCUUUCCUGGAGGCUCUGGGAGAGAAUCGGUAUCCUUGCUCUUUUCCCACUUCGAGAGGCUGCCACAUUCCUUGGCUGGUGGCUCCUUCCUCCAUCUUCAAAGCCAGCGACAGAUGGUGAAUGGAGUCCUUUCACGUGGCUCACUCUGCCCUUGUUCCUGCUGUCACAUCCCCCCUUCUCUGUCUGACUUUUCUGUCCCCUUCCUCCACUCUUGUCAUUACCUUGGGCCCAUCUGAAAAUCCUGGAUCGUCCCCCUAAUUAAAGUCAGUGGACUAGCAACUUUAAUUCCAUCUGCAACCUUAGUUCCCUUCUGUCAUGUAGCCUAACCUCAUCACGAGUGUCAGGGAUUUGCACGUGGACAUCCUCAGGGACCCCAUCGUGAGUGGUUGGGGGGAUGUGGCCAGAAAGAAGGCAGUGGCAGAAUGCCCAAGAACUCUGCAGCUGCGCUGAGGCAUCUGAGAGCCAAGGAGGAAACCUUCUUUGUGGUUAAGUAAGAAUGAACUAAUAUCCAUCUGGCAUUUGGCAUUUUACACUGCACUUUUUGUACAUUAUCUCAUUGGAUCUUAAAAACAG
rnacentral:lncRNA from 1 species